GAGACUCCAGGAGCAACUCUCAACAUUACAAUGUAGUUACUAUUUCAACCACGGUCCCAGAGGGAGGAUGAUGAAGCAGAGUCCUCCAACCGACUCACAAUGAAAUGUAGUAUUUUACCUGAGAAAUCCCCAAGGUUGCAAACCAACACCAUCUUAAGCAGCACCAUCGUGCCAAAGAGGUGGCCAAAGACCAUCACCCAAGCAGCAUUAGAAGAAGCAGGGAGCAGGAAUCUCCAUUAAGUAAUGCAUUCUAGCUUUGUCUCAAGAAGCAGCGCUGAUUCCUGCUUUGGGAGAGAGUAACAGCAGAUGCAGCCAUUCAACCCCUCAGUGAAAAUAGCAGGAGCACAAGUUUAAAAGACAACCUUGUUUCUUUUACAAGAUGUGUUUACGAGAGCAGUGAAAUACAAUCACUUUGAGAACCUGCAGCACCAAGAGGUUACACGGCUCUGGCUUGGUGGAAAACGGGUGAAGAAAAAAAGCAUUGUCCCUGGGUCUGCAGGCCAGUCUUCAGGGACCCCUGCACCCAGUUACACUCACUGGCACCACUAACUGAGAUCAGGCAACAUAACGUUUUCUUUGGGAAUCGCACACCCAGAAGGAGCUGGCAUUCAUCUGUAAUUCCUCAUGUCUCCCAAGCUUCUGCAAAGCCUCACCUACUUACUUCUGAAAUAUAAUUUUGAGAUUGGACAUGAGUAAUUGACAGGCUGAUAUUUUUCUCUGCACAAGAAAAAUAAAAAGGAUACAAAUUCAAGUUUGUGAGAAAAUUUAAAAAAAGUCCUCU